rnacentral:lncRNA from 1 species
GAAAACGCCGCCAUGCUAGCCAUAGAGCUGAAGAUCACCCAAGGAUCGUCUGAGAGAGUACGAAGCAAAGAUCGAGGUACAAGAGAGAGUAAUCUGCGAUCUAAGAGCACGCAUUAUUGAUGCCUAAACACACGGACACGAUUAAUACCAAUCUGACCCACGGAUGGCGCCACUUUACUGCCGUGCAAAAUAAUGACAAAAGCGCGAAAGCCAGAAGGCACAAGCUAAAUUCUCAAUUAAAAACUCAACUAAAAUUUAAAAAAGUCUUCUUUGUCAUCAGAGCAGGAGAUUACGAUUUACUUUCCACUCCUCAGUUAAUAAAUUAUUAGACGGAUUUCAUUCGUUAGCUGUUAUCUAAAUUUAAAAGAAACGAGAUUCCAGAUUUGAGAAUUUCGAUUGAACCUUCUGAGCUUUCGUACAAACGCACGGUCUGUGAUUUUACGAUUGAUCGACAACAUCAGUAGUGCUUAGUAUAGCAGCAAUGUAACGCGCAACUUGUUUAACUUCUGUCUAGAGUACCCUCGCUCGUAAUCUUUAUGGCGAACUUUGGUGUUUGACACGUGAACUAGCACCUGCUAUUAGUGUCUGGCCAGGAUAUAUAUUGUCUAGAUACGUCGACAACUCACUGCACUCUAGAUGCUGCUAAAUACGCCCACAUGUACGAUGGUGUAUGCCUCGAUUAUGAUAGUGUAGACGCGUAGUGCGCACUACAGAAGUAGAAGUGGUAAUUGGUAUUGCAAGAGACUACAAAGAAGAGAAAGACAAGAAGUAACACGAAACGAAUGAUUUACUCAAGAGCAGAAUAAGUAAGAAUACAGAUUCUCUCAGUGCAGCCACUGAACAAGGUAGAGAAGUUUGGCUAUAAGGAACCCUGUAUCACGCACUUACAACUUUCUCGACGAACGUCACAAAGUAAGAGGGUGCUGAGGAGAGGCGGCUCCCACUAUUUAUACGUCGUGGCUUAAACCUACGCCCGCGCUCUUUCUCCCACGUCACCGAUAUCUCACUAUAGGCUCACUUGGACAACCAAUCAUUACCGAAUACGGUAGGAUAAGCGAGCUAAUAUUCAGCUGAGAAAGUGUGACCAAGUGCUGAGAAUUACCUAAACCAGGAUACAAAACUCAUUUCUGUAUGGCAACUCAAGUUUGCAUAGCUACAUACCUGUAGGGGUAGUUACUAUCUAUAUAUGCAUCACCAGUUAUAAUAAUUGCUCCAUGCGCAUGCGUGCGUAUAAUAAUGGAUCAUACGUAGGGCGUUAGUCGUUGUGAGUGACUAGCAGCAGCAGAGGAAGAAUAAUUCAACCUGUCGUAAAAAACUGAUAUAUGCGGCGCCCGUGAAAAAAAAAAUGAUGAAAGGGUGACGCACGCAUAGUAAAUAUUUAGAAGUAGAGUUGGCAUAAAAUUGUCACAUGCGUUGCAUAAUAUUACUGCACUCUCGUGAACUUGCUUGUUUAUUUCACCUUGCUUUAUAGAAAAAAUAAUUAAUUAUGUAGUUGUUUUACUACGUGAUGUGCGCGGGAUUUCUCGCUUAGGUUGCGAAGUCUACGGAGGUUGCAUUACAUGAAUUGCUAUAACUCUAUAUCCAGAAACAUUUUCGACAAACUCUUCGCUAUGUUAGAUAUUGAACGCUAUUUUCAUUGAUGACGGAUAUUAAUGAAGUAUACGAGUGCCGUGACACAGUUGUUGUCGUUGGGCGAUGGCUGCGUCUUGGUAUGUUGGAAGGUUUUAAUGGCGGCCAAUAGUAGUUACACAGGCCACGAAACUCUUUAAUCACACCUCGUGCGUUCUGUUUAACAUGUUAUAUGCGUUGCACAUGUGUUAUAUGAGUUUUAUGUGAUCGUAUAUAAACUAUAUGUGUGUUUAUUAUGUAUGAUGUUUAGUUAUAAAUGUUUAGGAAUGA